CGGGGGCUCAGGGACUUGGGGUCCUCGGGCUGUUUUCUCUAGAACCUGAGUGGGGCCAGUUUGCUUUGCUGGAGUUUAAAGGGGGGCCUGGUGUUUUGCAGGCGUGGCUAGGCCUUUGAGACGCCAGGUGCCCUCUCUUCCUCGCUGGGGGAAACCGAGGCUCGGAGAGAUGGGCCUCCAGCCUGAGACCAGUAUGGCACUGUGUCUUGGAGGUGAAAGCCAGGUUGCCAACUCAGGAUAUUUUCCUUACCCUAAUAGACAAAAUUAGAGGGGAAACUGGAGUAACGAAUCGGGGUGGUAAUUCUAAAAAUUUGAAAGCCUGUACACGAUCGAAAUCAAGCUUUUAGGAACUGUUUAAAAGAUCCAAAUGGGAACCUGGCGGCGGUGGCACACGCCUUUAAUCACAGCUCUUGGGAGACAGGCAGGCGGAUCUCUGAGUUCGAGGCCAGCCUAAUCUGCAGCGUGAGUUCCGGGACAGCCAGAGUUACAAAAAGAAAACCCUUUCUUUUUUUCUAAAUAGUGAUGUCACCCGCAUAGUGAGUAUCAGGGUCUUCUACUUCAUUUUUAAAUUUACUCCUUGCAUUUCUUUCUGUAGCCCUUAAGAUUUAUAAUAGAUUAUUAAUAUGGGAAAACAUGCAUACUUUAAGAGGUUUUUGUUUUUUGAUUUUUCGAGCUUUGAGAGAUUUCAAGCUUUGUAACUUUUCAGACUCACAGUGUUUGAAGUUCUUCCAGUGAUUUAUCUGCCAAAUCGCAGCGUUAUUGAAUGUUGGUGGGGUGAGCAGGUACAGCCACGUUCCCAGUGUGUAUCCACCUCAGCGCCAGCCUAAACCAGCCUAAGCCGUUUUGUAGCCACCGGAAACCCACUUUAAAGGCUGGAUGUCACUGUGGUCACUGGUCUCUACCAAGUUAAAUAUGCAGAGUGACGGCUGUCAAGGCCCUGACACACACUGGAAACUACAUUUUUCCUAAUAGACUGCAGGCCUGAGGCCUGUUAAGCAGGUGAUGCCACCUGGCUUGGGAGGAUGAGAUGUGGGCUUCCCAGUGGCCACCUGGCAGUGGUUUCCGUGGUGCCACACUAAACCACAGUAUUACACAAUGCCUUUAUAUUUUAUGUGGUCCUAAAGCCAUUUUAAAAAUACUGCUCCUCCCAUUUUUGGUGCUGUGUAAAGUAGAUAUUAGCUUACUUGCCCCAAAUCAAGUCUGUGGCGAGUUCCCAGGCCAGAGUUCAGAAUGCAGUGACUGCCCUUCCCCCCAGAAGCUAUCACUAUCCAAGAGUUAGCAGGCCCUGGGGGCCACUCUGGGACCCGGAACUGAUUGUUGGUAGCCCAGUCCAAUCUAGUGGGGGCUCCAUUGCAGGCUGUAUAAUUUUUGACUGACUAGUUCAACUUAGAAAACGAAACAAUUGCCAAAACAUAAGGAAGUCAAAAGGUGACUUCCUGAGAAAUAAUUAUUUUUGUGCAUUGCCUUAAAUUUGAAAGGGAUCUUGGAAAAGUAAAAAAUAAUUAUUUGAGCUGGGCAUUUUUUAAUCUCAGCACUCAGGAUGCAGAGGCAGGCAGAUCUUCAUGUUCAGGGCCAACCUAGUCUACAUAUCAACUUCCAGGCCUACCAGGCUACAUAGUGUAACCCUGUCUCAAAAAACAAACAAACAACAACAAAAAAAAAACAACUGAUGAUAGAUAGAUUGAUAGAUAGAUAGAUAGAUAGAUAGAUAGAUAAUUAGAUAGAUAGAUUCCCCCUAAAUGCCUUUAAAAGGGAAAGGAGCUGUUUGAAGGCCUAGUGUAACAUUGAGUGGACUUUAGUCAGGUCCUGGAACUGUUGGUGAUGAGGGUUCCUGCUAGAAAGCCAAGCAGCCAGCAUCCCAGUUGUCAAGUCUGUCAUCAUGCUUUAAGACGUCUCUGUCUCCUGAGCAACCAGCCUAGUUGGUUUUCACUCUUCCAAAAACUAACCCAAUUACCACAAAACAUUGAUUAAUGAAAAAUAAAUGCUCUGGGUUUGUUUUGCGAUAGCUAUAAAGUAAUAGUCAAGGAUUUAUAAUUCAUGCCUUGUGAAGCUUCUGAAAAAUUAAUUAUCCCAAGCGGAGAAAGAAAUACAAGCAAAUUGGCUUGAAAGUCGUUUUUUUAAAAUAGUGGUAGCCGUUAUUAAUGCAUAGUUCACCUGCAACUUUAGAGGCUCAGAUCUUACAGCGCAACAGCUUUAGAGAGUCCCGAAACUUUUCUAGAGAGUGGAAUUGUAGGCCUUGUACCCCUUUGACUCCUUAGACACAGCCUUGGGUACUUCUGCACACAGCCCUCCUGAAGAAUCAGCCCCCUCUUAACUGUCCUUGGCAGCCUUAUCUCUCCCCUGGAGGGAAGGGAGCAACUCAGUUUAGUUUUCUUUUUGAGCAGUCCAGCACCAGCCCCCCCCCCCUCGUGCUGAGAUCUUAGGUGUUUACACCGCCCAGCUGAGACUGCCCUUUUGUACCUGGUUCAGGAGCGCCACAGCUGACCCACUGUUUCCUCCCUAAUUAAAUGAGUCCAUAAAAUCGCUUCCAGAAUUAAUGAGGGACUUCAGCAAUUUGCUCUAGCCUGACUAUAUUCAAAUCCCUGUUUGUUUCAGUUUUUAUAAAUAAAAAGAACCUGAAACUGGAAGUUUCUGGCCUUCGUUAAGUGUCUGAGAAGAUUCGGGUUUUUACUAAAAGUGUCAUUUAGUUUUGACCUGUGUUGAGUGGCUUCCUAGCACGGCCCAGUCUUUCCCAUGGGGACCAGGCAGAGGGUGUGUGACUUUGUCCAUCUGUUUGUUGUGCACCCCCGCCCCUUGAUUUGGUUUCAGCUGCUUACUGGAAUGUUCUCUCUCCCUCUCUCUCUCUCUCUCUCCUUGAUGCUAUCUGCACCUUCCCCUGGAGGACAAUGGAGAAUUCUUGCUGGUCUGCUUGACUGGGGGUGGGGGAUGCAGCAUAUUUUUCUGAGGUUCUCUGGUUAAGAUCCUGCCAAUCUUUCCUCAGAGACGUCAUUGUUUGCAGCAUUUUGUUUUCCUGGACUAUGCUAAUACCUGGUUUAAUAUUUGUGUCUCUUGCUUGAGACUGAAUGAUGAGAUGUCAUAGUCAUUACCCCUAUCCCCAAGCACACACAACCAUCCACCCUGGGUUUUGAUCAUUGCCUAUGAAUAAAAACGAGUAAGUCCAUGAUUCCUAUAACCUUUUCUAUCACAUAGGGAUGGGGAGAACGAUCCCUCUCUCAUUUUGUAAACAUCAGCUCCCCUGUGGUCGUUGUCUCCUUUGGUUUUUGAGGAACCCGGACGAAAGGUGAACAGUUCUCCCCUUUGCAGAUGGUUAAACUGGUGGCUUCGGUAGCAAGCUCACUAACUCAUACUGGUGCGAAGAGCUCGGCAGGCCUUGUUCUAAGUACUUUACAUUUGGCCGGAGCCUUGGUUCAGGUUAAGAGCACUGCUGCUCAGAACCAGGCUGCUCAGAACUCAGGCUGCUCACAAGUGCCCUGAACUCCAGCUGCAAGGAAUCUGACAGUCUCUACUGGCCCCCGUGAGUGUCUGCCUUCACGGCAAAAUAAACAGAAUAUCCGAGUGCUCCACACUCAGGCCUCGUGUUUCAGAGAGGCCGAGAGCUGGUGGCCAUCCCAGCAUUGUGGAUCCAAAGCAGUGUUCUUCUCUAGUGUGGUUUUUCUUGUUUUUGACCCAGGCUGGCCUUGAACCCCUGAUCCUCCUUUUCUGUCAAGCUGUGUGGUAUUACAAGUUUGCGCCACACCUGACAGUUCCCCCUGAGGUUCUCCCUUCCCCCUCCUGUUAUUUAUUUAUUUUUUUCCUUUUGAUAUUUUGAGACAGGGUCUUACUGUAUAGAUCAGGCUGCAUUUCUCCUGCCUCUGCCUCCCAAGGGCUAGCAUUAUGGUCCUAUACUACCAAGCCUAGUUUAUCAAUGUUUCUAAGUUCAGAAGACAAAUAAUGUUAGCUCAUUCUCUCCCCCUCUCUUUUUGAGACAGUGUCUCAUGUAUACCUGGCUGGCCUCAAACUCACUAAGUAACCAUAGAUGACUUUGAUCUUCCCAAGGGCUGAUACUACAGUUUGUGCCACCACUCCCUGGUUGUGUGGUGAUGGGGAUGCAACUCCUGGCUCUCCGUGGGCUAGGUGAGCCACAUCUCCAGCCCUAUGUGCGCUCUACUUCAUGCACUGGGUUGGUGCACCACAGUUAUGAGCUGCUGUUGUUAAACUUUUUUCCUCUUUGGUCUUGUUGACAGGGUCUCACAGUGUAGCCUUGACUGUCCCUGGAACUCAUCAAGUAGACCAGGCUAGCCUCUAAGGCGCUGAUUUCCAGCUGCCUCUCUCUGCCAAGUGAUGGGAUUAAAGGGGUGCCACCACUCCCUGUAGAACUUCUUUUCUCAGAGCAGUAGUAGAAACUGGGGGAAGAUAAGUCAGUAUUUUUACCUGUUCUGUGAAAACUCAAUAUGUAUGCUCCCUAUUUUUAUAAUUUAUAUUUGUGACCACUUAAAACCACAUGUAGUACAGCCCUAACAUUUGUUAGCUGGGCCUGGUGUCCCAUUCCUUUUAAUUCCAGCAAUCUGGAAAGCAGAGGCAAACGGACCUCUGAGUUCCUCAAGGCCAGCUUGGUCUACCUAGUGAAUUCUAGGACAGUGAGGUGCUACAUAGCAAGACCCAGUUUCAAAGACAAAGCUUCAGGUGUCGUGGGACAUUCUUAUAAUAACCAGCACUCAGAGGCUAAAAUGGAAUGAUCAGGAGUUUGAGGCCAGCAUCGAUUAUACAGCAAAGUCUUUUCUCAAGAAGUACUGAAUGGUCGUGCACACCAUUAAUCCUCCCAGCACUGGGGACGCAGAGGUAGGCGGAUCUCUGUGAGUUCAGAGUCAGCCUGGCUACAGAGAAAAUUCCAGGACAGCCAGGGCUAUGCAGAGAAACCCUGCCUCAAAAAACCAAAGGGGAAAAAAUGCCCAAUUUUUUUUUUAAACAAUUUAAUGCCAGUUGUCCACCCAUGCCUAUGAAAAUGUUGACAGUGUAUAUUACCUUACAGUUCUCUGGGCAUAGUGGAUCCCAAGGGCUUUCACACAGCCAGAGUGGCUGCUAUGCCCCUGCCUGGGUGAAGUUUGGAGUGUUGAAGUGGGAGUCUACUUUUUAAUUGUCCCAGGGGAUGCAGUCUAACCGCACCUGAAGUUUUGUGUUUUGAGACAGGGUGCCUCAACAGAGGCUGACCUAGCCAGUAGACUAGGCUGGCCUUCAACUCACAUGGAUCCUCCUGCCUCUGCAGUUCUGGGAUUUGAGGUGUCGCCACCACCGCCUGGGUUUCUUUUGAGGUUUUGAAGAUGGGCCCCACAUCAUCAAAGUGUUUAAAAAGGCCAAGCCUUUACUUAACUCAGCCCCGGGGACAUGCAAAUUCACCAAGAGACAGAUUGACAGGAGACUAGAAAGGCAGUUUGGGAAUUUACAGGCAAAGAAAGGCUUGGAAGAAGAGUGGAAAUAAUGUCAGUCAUUAGCAUUUUUCCUCUGGUUGUAGAAGCAGAAGACUGAACCUAGAGCUUGCAUCAAGUGAGGCCUCUAUCCCCGGAACCUUUUUAUUUUUUUUAACUGUGUGGGUGGCAUUUGGGGGUGGGGUGUAAGCACACACAUACACGCUCGAGUCUGGAGAUUGGCGGUCAGUAUGUAUGCUUUCCUUUUUUUAAAAAACAAGCAAUAUUUAUUUGUCUUUCUGGGUCUGAGAGGUGUCUUCCUCUUGCCAUUUUCUUCACCGCCCCCCCCCCCAUUUAUUUAUUUAUUGAGACGGGUUUUCCUUAUGUCGUAUUGGCUGGUCUGGAAUUCGUUGGACUCACCUAGCCACGCACCUAGCCUUUUGAACUCAUAGAGUUCUGCCCGCCUCGGCCUCCCAAAUGCUGGGACAAAUGGCGGCCAUCCCCAGGCACAGCUGCCCGCCUUAUUUUUUGUGAGCAGUUCUCUGACUUAACCUAAAUCCUGCUGUUUUUGCUAGACUAGCUGCCAGGAAAGCCUCUGGGGUCUGCUUGUCUGUGCUUGGGAUUUAAUCAUAGAUCCUCUAUUAGUGCCUUUUUUACCCACUCAACCAUCUGCCCAACCCAGUGGUUGGAUUUUUUUUUUUUAACACAUUGAAGAUGGUUUGAGCUUCAGGAAAUGGUGAUUGUUGGAAGUAAACAGGAGAUAGAUGGAGAACAAAUUGCAGGGCUAACAGACAGAUCAAGGAGGGUUUCUGCUCCUUCCCUCUUCCCAACCCCUCCCCACAAACACUUAAGGCCCAGCCUUCUGGAGCCAGCAAUGUGGGUUUUUUGGGGGCACACACCCUCAGGCAGCAGUUCCCCAAACUGUACUUUUCCCUUAUCUUUCUUAAGCUUGCUGUUCUGCCUAAGGGUGAGCCCCUCCCAGCACUCUCUCUUCUGUUCUAGCAAUUCCCAGACCCAGCUUGUGCAAAAGAGGGAGCUAAGAGGCACCGCGCAGGGCAUCAUGGUUCGCCUGUUGGCCUCAGAAGUUCAGCAGCUUCUCCAUAACAAGUAUGUGGUCGUCCUUGGGGACUCUGUACAUAGGGCAGUGUACAAGGACCUGGUGCUCCUGCUGCAGAAAGAUUGCCUGCUCAGUAACAAGCAGCUCAGAACCAAAGGGGAGCUGACAUUUGAAAAGGAUCAGCUGAUGAGGGGAGGCGAGCUGGACACCCUACACAACCGCACUGACUACCGCGAGGUGCGCGAAUUCUGCUCCGACCAUCAUCUGGUGCGCUUCUACUUCCUCACGCGCGUCUAUUCUGAGUACAUGGAGAGUGUCCUAGAGGAGCUGCAGUCGGGCACGCAUGCCCCAGAUGUGAUCAUUAUGAACUCUUGCCUCUGGGACGUCUCCCGGUAUGGGCGGAAUUCCUUGAGUAGCUACAAGCAGAACCUGGAGAACCUGUUUGGGCGCAUGGACCAGGUACUGCCCAAGUCAUGCCUGCUAGUGUGGAACACUGCUAUGCCUUUGGGUGACAAGAUCAAGGCGGCCUUCCUCCCUCAGAAGUGUAAGGGCCAGUACCGGAUCUCGGUGGCCACCCUGAAAAAAAGAGUGAGCCAGGCCAAUUUCUACAGCCAUGCCGAAGCAACAAAGCGCUGCUUCGAUGUGCUGGACUUAAAUUUCCACUUCCGUCAGGCCAAGAAGCAUCUGCAAGGAGAUGGGGUGCACUGGAAUGAGCAUGCACACCGCCGACUCUCCUACCUGCUGCUUGCCCACAUGGCUGAUGCUUGGGGGGUGGAUCUGCCCCACCGAGACCCAUGGGAGCCUGGUCCUGUCUUGUGGGAAGGUCCAAGUCAGGUAGAAGAAUGGCAGCCCCAGGUCAACAGAGGUCCCCAGGCCUUUGCCUUGUCUCCACCCAUGCCUCCUCCCAGGCCACGCCCACUGUUCCCACCCCCUGGCUUGCCCUUAAGGCCCCCCCCACCCCUCCUAGCAUGUUCCCUACCCCCACCUCAGGCGACACCCCCAUUACCACACUAUCCACAAGAGUCUUAUUUUUCCUCAGACCAUGUUUUCCAGUCAGAUGAAUUCUAUAUUCAUUCAGAUGACCCCCCACCUACCCACGGAGGAUAUACCUUUGAGGGUGACUUUAGUUUUUAUCCCCAACCACCCGUGCCCAACUUCCGCCCACCCUGUUACCAGCGCCAGGCCCCUGUGGUACAUAGGGGUUUCCCAAGGCAUCUUGCUCGCGGCCCCUAUAUGCCCUGGAGAGAGAGGCCCAGGCGACCACAAAGACAUGCCCCUGCCUGCCUAGAGUCAAGGCCUCAGUAGUCUGACUUAAACCCCCUUUACCUCUGGGUGGGGCUAUGUGAUAUUGACUUUCCCUUUCCUUCUCAGUCUCCACACACUGACCUUGCUACUUAAGCCCAGCUAGUCCCAUCUUGGAAGUCUCUGUGUUCACUGCUGUUAGAGACAAGGAAUAGCUCACUGGCCCACUCCUGCUGCCUGAGGAGGUCUCCUCCCUCUGAGCGACCAAGCAAGCAUUCUUACUACCUCCCCCUCCCCAUCGCUAUUCUUACUACCUCCCCC